rnacentral:rRNA from 1 species
UACCAGCACCCCGAGUGGUCGGGACGUUUAUUGGGCCUAAAGCAUCCGUAGCCGGUUCUACAAGUCUUCCGUUAAAUCCACCUGCUUAACAGAUGGGCUGCGGAAGAUACUAUGGAGCUAGGAGGCGGGAGAGGCAAGCGGUACUCGACGGGUAGGGGUAAAAUCCGUUGAUCCAUUGAAGACCACCAGUGGCGAAGGCGGCUUGCCAGAACGCGCUCGACGGUGAGGGAUGAAAGCUGGGGGAGCAAACCGG